GACGGAGGAUGCUAGCGUUGAUCGGAAUCACUGGGCGUAAAGGGCGCGUAGGCGGCUUCAGGUGUCGGAUGUGAAAGCCCGGGGCUCAACCCCGGAGGUGCAUCCGAAACUCUGGGGCUGGAGGCCGGAAGAGGAGGGUGGAAUACCCAGUGUAGAGGUGAAAUUCGUAGAUAUUGGGUGGAACACCGGUGGCGAAAGCGGCUCUCUGGUCCGGUCCUGACGCUGAGGCGCGAAAGCGUGGGGAGCAAACGGG
rnacentral:rRNA from 1 species